ACAGCCGAGGAGGUAUCAGCAACCACAACAUUAUCCCAUCCUUUCCCCUCCAAACCCCCACUCUUCUCAGACCCAAAAUAACUUCUGUUCUUUCUCUCCUCUCGCCACUCGACUUUAUAACCAAACCAUUCCUUUUCCGCUCUCUAACCAAAAUCCAAUCUUUGAACACAAACCAAUUCGUGGGUUUUCCGGGAAAGCAAUUGGGUUUUUGUUUGAAAGGAAGUUAAGGGUUUUGUGAAUGCAAAAGAGGAUGGCGUUGAUGAAGCUGAGGAGCAGAGUAGUUGGGAGAGAACUAUGCCGGAGCUGUUUAGGUACUUGUGACCUAAGAAGCUCCUGACCCUCCUCUGAGGUGGCCUUGUUUUCUGGGUAAAAUGCUUCACUGUCUUUGUCUAUCUUUGUCUAUUUUGAAGAAUUUGCAGGUCCGCUGAGCACAACAGCUUUAGCCCCAGCCGGGUUCAACUCAUCCGAUGCUUCGAUCUAUGUAACCAUGAAGCAAGGGGUUAUGAGGAACUAAGGAGGGCUGCAGGAAGCAGCAGGUCAUUAAAAGGGAAAUGUCUGGGCAGAAAUGGUACAUGGUAGGAAUUCCAAACUUUUGAGUUGUGAAUGUUUUCUGUUGGGAUAUUGAGAUUAAUUAAAUUUGUAAUUUUGUGGUGGAGAUGAAUAUAUGGAAUUGAUGUAUAAAAGCAUUAGAUUGACUGAAUUUGGGACGUAUAUGCAUUUUAUUAAUACAGAAUUAAAAUGCUUCUGCAAUUUGUUUCGGGUUUACGGUAGUUAAACUAAAAUUUGCCGUCUUUCUUUAUGUUUAAAUAUAUGCAAGGGGAACUGACAGAAAAGAAGAUGGGUAUUCCUAAGAAGAGUGGGGGUUGAUUAGUUUGAUUAGGUUUUGGGUGUCCACUAUUUUGAUUGAUUGCAGAUAGAGGUUCUUCUCUUCUUCUUUUCUGUGUUGGAAGUGUAGUAGCUACCUCUGUCUUUCUCCGCUUCGAAGAUAAUCUAGCACACCCAUUUCGAUUAGCUUCUCGCUUCUCAAUUUGAGAGAGAAAAACUGUGGGGUGGAGAGAGAGCAAAGAUAUAUGUUGUGUGUGACUUUGGUCCAGCUCCAUGCUUAUUUUCUCAUUAAUAUUCUAUUAACAUUCAAUGGUCAAGAGCUACGUUAUGAGAAGACUACUGUUUUUCAAACCAUUUGAAUAUUUGACGGAUUUGAGAGAUUUCUACUAUACUUCUGAUCCAUAAAUAAGGGCAUUAUUAGUAUACAAAUUAAUCAAGAAGACUAGUGUAUAUCACCGUCAACAUAUGUCGCCUAAUGAGAGAUAGAUAGGACCCUCUUUGAUUGUUGGUUAAUAGGCAACUUUAGGUGACACUGAUUGACAAUUUAAACAAGUAUUUCUCAUUUGCAGCUGAGGAGUUACAUACUAUUUUUCACAUUGAUGUAGAUGGUAUGUUACGUAUCUCAUGUCACAUUAGCCAUAUGUUCUUUGCUUGUAGCUUUGCACUGAAGUUCCUGUGCUGGAGUUCAACAUAAUAUUAGUUUCUAUUUUCUAAUGACCCAUAUUGUGCUUGGAUUGAAGGUUCUUUGUAUAAAUGGAAUACUUGUGUACUAUUUUCUCAUAUAUAGGUAUCGUGUUGUAUCCAUUUGCCUUUUCGGCUGUAUAUAACAUGUAGAAUCUGGUUCAGAAUUACGGCACUAGCUUGUGUUAUGGAAAACUGCUAGUGCUUCAUUUGUGCCUUAAAUCGUCAGCUAAGAAGUCGUAGUUCCUUAGUGUAUCUGCUGUUGAAAUCUUGAACAGAUUCUGCAGCAGAAUGGCAAUAUAGCAGAACGGGAACAGAUUCUGUUAAGUUUA